rnacentral:rRNA from 1 species
ACCGGCGAACGGGUGCGUAACGCGUAUAGAAUCUGCCUUGUACAGGAGGAUAGCCUUUAGAAAUGAAGAUUAAUACUCCAUAAUAUUGGUUAGCGGCAUCGCUAUCUAAUUAAACAUUUAUGGGUACAAGAUGACUAUGCGUCCUAUUAGCUAGAUGGUAAGGUAACGGCUUACCAUGGCAACGAUAGGUAGGGGGUCUGAGAGGAUUAUCCCCCACACUGGUACUGAGACACGGACCAGACUCCUACGGGAGGCAGCAGUGAGGAAUAUUGGUCAAUGGAGGUAACUCUGAACCAGCCAUGCCGCGUGCAGGAAGACUGCCCUAUGGGUUGUAAACUGCUUUUAUACAGGAAGAAACAGAUCUACGUGUAGGUCCUUGACGGUACUGUAAGAAUAAGCACCGGCUAACUCCGUGCCAGCAGCCGCGGUAAUACGGAGGGUGCAAGCGUUAUCCGGAAUCAUUGGGUUUAAAGGGUCCGCAGGCGGUCAAUUAAGUCAGAGGUGAAAUCCCAUAGCUUAACUAUGGAACUGCCUUUGAUACUGGUUGACUUGAGUUAUACGGAAGUAGAUAGAAUAAGUAGUGUAGCGGUGAAAUGCAU